AGAGAUAACGGUCAUAUUGACAGAGGAGUCAGGAGAUCUGAUUACCACCAGAGAGAGACCAGACUCUCACUCUGACAGCAGAAAGAGUUCUUCAGAGGAACCAGACAGAGAGAUGACCAAACCAGCGAGACGACACCACUGCUCCUACUGUGGAAAUAGUUUUACCCGAUUACAACAUCUGAAAGCACAUGAGAGAAUACAUACAGGAGAAAAGCCCUUCCACUGUUCCCAGUGUGAAAAGAGUGUUAGGUGGUUAACGAGUCUGAAAAAGCAUGAGAGGGGACACACACAAGAAAAGAUCUACCAAUGCUCCCUGUGUGAAAAAGAAAAGAUCUACCAAUGCUCCCUGUGUGAAAAGAGUUUUACCAAGUUAGGGGGCCUGACUAGGCAUGAGAGGACACCCAAAGGAGGGGAUAAGACGUACCACUGCUCCCAGUGUGGAAAGAGAUUUUCCCAGUCAGAGGACCUGAAAGCACAUGAGAGAAUAGAGAGACUGUGUUCUGACUUGUGUUUUUGACUGAGAAUUUGUGUUUUUGUUUGUCACAUUAAAUCAUAUUGUUUAAAUGAAAUCAGACAUGGAAAUCUGACCAAAACAACGGGCCUGUUUCUGUUGUUUUUCAUCUUGAUCUAAAAUCAAAUGAAAUAUUUUAAAAUGUGUAUUUCAUUUUUCAUUAUGAACUUUGAUUGGUUGUAUACAAGUAUUAGCCCUCUGAUGUUGUUCAUAAUAUGAUUUGGAUAUUGCUAAAUGUAAAUGAUUAUACACUGCUCAAAAAAAUAAAGGGAACACUUAAACAA